rnacentral:rRNA from 1 species
CUGGUCCUACGGGACGCAGCAGUGAGGAAUAUUGGUCAAUGGGCGCGAGCCUGAACCAGCCAAGUCGCGUGAGGGAUGACGGCCCUACGGGUUGUAAACCUCUUUUGUCGGGGAGCAAAUUCCGUUACGUGUAACGGAGUCGAGAGUACCCGAAGAAAAAGCAUCGGCUAACUCCGUGCCAGCAGCCGCGGUAAUACGGAGGAUGCGAGCGUUAUCCGGAUUUAUUGGGUUUAAAGGGUGCGUAGGCGGAUUUUUAAGUCAGCGGUAAAAUGUCCGGGCUCAACCCGGGCCGGCCGUUGAAACUG